rnacentral:rRNA from 1 species
UGGGGAAUAUUGCACAAUGGAGGGAACUCUGAUGCAGCAACGCCGCGUGCGGGAUGACGGCCUUCGGGUUGUAAAGCUCUGUGAUCCGGGACGAAAGAGCCUGAGGUAAAUAGCCUAAGGAAGUGACGGUACCGGAAAAGCAAGCCACGGCUAACUACGUGCCAGCAGCCGCGGUAAUACGUAGGUGGCAAGCGUUGUCCGGAAUUAUUGGGCGUAAAGCGCGCGCAGGCGGCUUACUAAGUCCAUCUUAAAAGUGCGGGGCUUAACCCCGUGAUGGGAUGGAAACUGGAAAGCUGGAGUAUCGGAGAGGAAAGUGGAAUUCCUAGUGUAGCGGUGAAAUGCGUAGAGAUUAGGAAGAACACCGGUGGCGAAGGCGACUUUCUGGACGAAAACUGACGCUGAGGCGCGAAAGCGUGGGGAGCAAACAGG